UAGAGUUUGAUCCUGGCUCAGAUUGAACGCUGGCGGCAUGCCUAACACAUGCAAGUCGAACGGUAACGCGGAGAGCUUGCUCUCUGGCGACGAGUGGCGGACGGGUGAGUAACACUUAGGAAUCUGCCCAGUAGUGGGGGACAACAUUCGGAAACGGAUGCUAAUACCGCAUACGCACUACGGUGGAAAGUGGGGGAUCUUCGGACCUCACGCUAUUGGAUGAGCCUAAGUCGGAUUAGCUUGUUGGUGAGGUAAUAGCUCACCAAGGCGACGAUCCGUAGCUGGUCUGAGAGGACGAUCAGCCACACUGGGACUGAGACACGGCCCAGACUCCUACGGGAGGCAGCAGUGGGGAAUAUUGGACAAUGGGCGCAAGCCUGAUCCAGCAAUGCCGCGUGUGUGAAGAAGGCCUGCGGGUUGUAAAGCACUUUCAGUAGAGAAGAAAAGCCUAGGGUUAAUACCCCUGAGUCUUGACGUAACCUACAGAAGAAGCACCGGCUAACUCCGUGCCAGCAGCCGCGGUAAUACGGAGGGUGCGAGCGUUAAUCGGAAUU
rnacentral:rRNA from 1 species